rnacentral:rRNA from 1 species
GCUUGUCUCAAAGAUUAAGCCAUGCAUGUCUAAGUAUAAGCAACCUUAUACAGCGAAACUGCGUACAGCUCAUUAUAUCAGCAAUUAUUUAUUUGAAGAUCACCUAUUACAUGGAUAACCGUGGUAAUUCUAGAGCUAAUACAUGCGAAAAGACGGGCCGCAAGGCUUGUUGUAUUUAUUAGAUAAAAAACCAAUGCCCUUCGGGGCUCUUUGGUGAUUCAUGAUAACUUCUCAGAUCGCACGGCCUUGCGCCGGCGACGGUUCAUUCAAAUUUCUGCCCUAUCAACUUUCGAUGGUACGGUAUUGGCCUACCAUGGUUUCAACGGGUAACAGGGAAUUAGGGUUCGAUUCUGGAGAGCGAGCCUGAGAGACGGCUAGCACAUCCAAGGAAGGCAGCAGG